rnacentral:rRNA from 1 species
AACGCUAGCUACAGGCUUAACACAUGCAAGUCGAGGGGCAGCAUUGGGGUAGCAAUACUUCAGAUGGCGACCGGCGCACGGGUGAGUAACACGUAUCCAACCUGCCGCUUACUCGGGGAUAGCCUUUCGAAAGAAAGAUUAAUACCCGAUGGUAUAAAGAGUUCGCAUGUUCUCUUUAUUAAAGAAUUUCGGUAAGCGAUGGGGAUGCGUUCCAUUAGAUUGUUGGCGGGGUAACGGCCCACCAAGUCUACGAUGGAUAGGGGUUCUGAGAGGAAGGUCCCCCACAUUGGAACUGAGACACGGUCCAAACUCCUACGGGAGGCAGCAGUGAGGAAUAUUGGUCAAUGGACGCGAGUCUGAACCAGCCAAGUAGCGUGAAGGAUGACUGCCCUAUGGGUUGUAAACUUCUUUUAUAAGGGAAUAAAGUGAGGGACGUGUCCCUUUUUGUAUGUACCGUAUGAAUAAGGAUCGGCUAACUCCGUGCCAGCAGCCGCGGUAAUACGGAGGAUCCGAGCGUUAUCCGGAUUUAUUGGGUUUAAAGGGAGCGUAGGCGGACGCUUAAGUCAGUUGUGAAAGUUUGCGGCUCAACCGUAAAAUUGCAGUUGAUACUGGGUGUCUUGAGUACAGUAGAGGCAGGCGGAAUUCGUGGUGUAGCGGUGAAAUGCUUAGAUAUCACGAAGAACUCCGAUUG